rnacentral:rRNA from 1 species
AUACGUAGGUGACAAGCGUUAUCCGGAUUUACUGGGCGUAAAGGGCGUGUAGGCGGUCUUGCAAGUCAGAAGUGAAAUUCCUGAGCUCAACUCGGGCGCUGCUUCUGAAACUGCAGGACUUGAGUGCUGGAGGGGAUAGCGGAAUUCCUAGUGGAGCGGUAAAAUGCGCAGAUAUUAGGAAGAACACCGGUGGCGAAGGCGGCUAUCUGGACAGUAACUGACGCUGAGGCGCGAAAGCGUGGGGAGCAAACAGGAUUAGAUACCCUGGUAGUCCACGCCGUAAACGAUGAGUACUAGGUGUAGGGGGUAUCGACUCCCUCUGUGCCGCAGUUAACACAAUAAGUAUCCCGCCUGGGGAGUACGGCCGCAAGGUUGAAACUUAAAGGAAUUGACGGGG